rnacentral:rRNA from 1 species
ACGGGUGCGUAACGCGUAGGAAUCUGCCUUGAAGAGGGGGACAACCCGGGGAAACUCGGGCUAAUACCGCAUAAUAUCGAGAGAUCAAAGCUGGGUAGCAAUACCUGGUACUUCAAGAGGAGCCUGCGUCCGAUUAGCUAGUUGGUGGGGUAAAAGCCUACCAAGGCGAUGAUCGGUAGCUGGUCUGAGAGGAUGACCAGCCACACUGGGACUGAGACACGGCCCAGACUCCUACGGGAGGCAGCAGUGGGGAAUAUUGGACAAUGGGGGAAACCCUGAUCCAGCAAUGCCGCGUGUGUGAAGAAGGCCUUCGGGUUGUAAAGCACUUUAGUUGGGGAGGAAGACGAGUAGUUUAAGAGAUGAUUCGUUUGACUGUACCCAAAGAAUAAGCACCGGCUAACUCUGUGCCAGCAGCCGCGGUAAUACAGAGGGUGCGAGCGUUAAUCGGAAUUACUGGGCGUAAAGGGCGCGUAGGCGGUGUAUUAAGUUGGAUGUGAAAUCCCUGGGCUUAACCUAGGAACUGCAUCCAAUACUGGUACGCUAGAGUGCAGUAGAGGGUAGUGGAAUUUCCGGUGUA